GUGCUUGCUGCAGCCGCACAUAUACUAAAAUUGGAAUGAUACAGAGAAACUUAGCAUGGCCCCUGCGCAAGGAUGACAUGCAAAUUUUCACAUGAAGCAUUCCAUAUUUUU